AUGAACGACUCGGAGCAGCCAACGUUGGCAGCGUUCCCGUCUCGGCGCAAAAAGAAGCGUCGGAUUUAGGAAGUUGAGAACAACAUGAGGCAGAUUUAGAUUGAGUUGAGAGUUAUGAAAGCAUUUCUAAUGCAAGUAACGGUGCACUCACCACGUAAUUUUGCAUUUGAUGCAUGGCUUGAUUAGGUAAAGAAAGUUUGACAUGACGUUGAGGAUGUAAUUAUCGAGCAGGUUGAGGUCCAUCUUUUGAAGCUCAAGAGCAUGAGAGAUCGUUAUGGCAUCACAAUUAGUGCAGAAGGAGAAGUUAACCACACAAGCCAGAAUGGUCAGCUGGAACAUGCUCUGGACUCAACAUGUCUAAACAUCGAGGAUGAGGUGGUCGGGUUUGAAGAAGAAACAUCAUGGCUUGUGCAACAGUUGAUACACGGGCAAGAAGAGCGAACAAUCGUCUCUGUCUGUGGUAUGGGUGGUUUAGGUAAAACGACUGUUGUCCGUCAGGUCUAUAAAAAGGAUGAAAUUAAGCAGAAUUUUGACUGUUCUGCAUGGAUUUCAGUCUCUCAAAGUUACAACAUUGAACAUCUAUUGAGGGAAAUAUUAAAGCAGCUCCAGGUGAAGGAAAAGGACAUCCCUAGUCAGGUUGACACUACCGAUGUUGCAAGCUUGGUACAAAAACUAAAGAACUUCUUGCAGGACAAAAGGUAUUUGAUUGUCUUGGCCGACAUGUGGAGUCAUUAUGCCUGGGUUUUAUUAAAUCAUGCACUGGGUAUAAGCAACAAAGGAAGCAGGAUCAUCAUAACUACCAGAAAUGAAUAUGUUGCUUCAUUAGCUGACGAUGAGCAUGUCAUUAAACUUAAAACACUUGGAAAGGAAGAAGCAUGGGAUCUCUUUUGUAGAAAAGCCUUUACAAGAGUAGAAGGAAAAACAUGUCCUCAGAUUUGUUGGGUAGAAAAAAUUGUGGACAAGUGUGAAGGGUUGCCACUAGCUAUUGUUGCCAUUGGAACUUUGUUGUCACACAAAAAGCCAUAUGAAAAUGAAUGGAAAACUUUCUAUAAUCAGCUAGAUUGGCAGAUAGUCAACAACCCAGAGCUCAACUCUGUAAAGAAUGUCUUGGACCUUAGAAUCAACUAUUUACCAGGAAAUUUGAAGAACAACUUUGUAUACUACGGCAUAUUUCCUGAAGACUAUCAGAUUCUAAGAGAUGAACUUAUUAGGUCAUGGAUAGCUAAAGGCUUCUUACAAGAAAGGGGGCCAUGUUUAACUAUGGAGGAAGUAGGGAAUGAGUAUCUCAACGAAAUCACUCAAUGUUCACUUCUUCAAGUGGUCCAGAGAGAUGCUGAUGAUAUAGCUGUAAGCAAGUGUGCAAGUGGGAAUUUUUCUCUUCUUCUGGAUAACUCUCGUGAUACAAUGCAUAGCAGAGAAGCACGACGUAUUUCGGUACAGAAAGCUAACAGCAUUGAAGGUACUCUUAAUGGUAGAGAAAAGAUACGGUCCUCCAUUUUGUUCCAUCGUGAAGUAUCAUCCUCCUGGGUAGAAUCUGCUUCUGGAAAUUUCAGAUUGCUAAGAGUCUUGUCCUUACGAUUUGCAAAGAUAAAGAAGCUGCCUAAUGUUGUGACCACCCUGUUCAAUUUGCGCUACCUUAAUUUGUCCUUUACAAAUCUUAAAGUGGUUCCCAAAGCUUUGUGUAAGUUGACGAAGCUACAUAUGCUAAAUCUUUUAGGAAUUGAUGUAGUGGAACUGUCGCUCCAAAUAAAAGAGUCGACUAAGCUCUGA
rnacentral:rRNA from 1 species